rnacentral:rRNA from 1 species
GAUGAACGCUAGCGGCAGGCCUAACACAUGCAAGUCGAACGGUAACAGCACUUCGGUGGCUGACGAGUGGCGCACGGGUGCGUAACGCGUAUACAAUCUACCUUUUACAGGGGGAUAGCCCAGAGAAAUUUGGAUUAAUACCCCAUGGCAUAUAUUUAUGGCAUCAUAUAUAUAUUAAAGAUUCAUCGGUAAGAGAUGAGUAUGCGUUCUAUUAGCUAGUAGGUGCGGUAACGGCGCACCUAGGCUACGAUAGAUAGGGGCCCUGAGAGGGGGAUCCCCCACACUGGUACUGAGACACGGACCAGACUCCUACGGGAGGCAGCAGUGAGGAAUAUUGGACAAUGGGCGAGAGCCUGAUCCAGCCAUGCCGCGUGCAGGAAGACGGCCCUAUGGGUUGUAAACUGCUUUUAUACGGGAAGAAACACCCCC